UAAGUCUUUUUUUUUUUGUCAAAGUUUGCAAGUCUAUCAACUGCAAAAUUUGGAAGGAUAAUAUACCCUUCUUUUUAGAGAAUAAAAUAUUAUAAUAUCUCCUACAAAAUAUAAUUAUUUCCCUUUUACUAUAGACUUGCAAUUCUUUUGGCAAUGGUAUCAUUCUUAUUACAUCUGCUGCCAAAAUAAACUGCAACAAAUUUCUGUGGCUCAAACGUUUACAUUUUUCCUAGACUUAUUUUUGGGUUUACUCUCUAGGGUGCACUUCUAUGUUCACCAACUAAUAGGAUUGCGUUAUUUCAUAUUCAUAUCUCUUAUAAAACGAAACAAAAUAUUUUCAAGUUAUAUUAUGUUUUCAAAAUAAAAAUAAAAAGGUGAAAAUAAAUAAAUAAAAAAUAGUAUAAAUUACAAAAAAAAUAUUUUUUAACCAGCAAAACACUAAAUCCUAAUCCUUAAUCCCUAAAUCCUAAACUCUAAACCCUUGGAUAAAUCCUAAACUCUAAAUAAAAAACAUUAAACACUAAAACAUUAAAGGGUUUAGGGUUUUAGUGUUUAGUGUUUUUGAUUUAGAGUUUGUGAUAAAUCGAAGGGUUUAGGGUUUACCCAAGGGUUUACGGUUUAGAAUUUAGGAUUUAUGGAUUAGGGUUUAGAGUUUAGUGUUCAUUUUCUGUAACUACUUUUUUUUUUUUAAAACAUAAUAUAACUUGACAAUAUUUUGUUUCAUUUUUUAAAAGAUUGAAAUAUUGAAAUUCUAUUGGUUGGUGAACCUAAGGAUUCACAAGAAUAACCAUUUUUCCUAUAUCCUGAAAUUACAUUGUUAAUUAAUAGCAAAAAAAGGCAGUCCAGCA
rnacentral:lncRNA from 1 species